rnacentral:rRNA from 1 species
CGCGGAGCAUGUGGAUUAAUUCGAUGCAACGCGAAGAACCUUACCUGGGCUUGACAUACACCAGAUCGGCGCAGAGAUGCGUUUUCCCUUGUGGUUGGUGUACAGGUGGUGCAUGGUUGUCGUCAGCUCGUGUCGUGAGAUGUUGGGUUAAGUCCCGCAACGAGCGCAACCCUUGUCUUAUGUUGCCAGCACGUGAUGGUGGGGACUCAUGAGAGACUGCCGGGGUUAACUCGGAGGAAGGUGGGGAUGACGUCAAAUCAUCAUGCCCCUUAUGUCCAGGGCUUCACACAUGCUACAAUGGUCGGUACAACGCGUGUGCGACACUGUGAGGUGAAGCUAAUCGCUCUAAAGCCGGUCGUAGUUCGGAUUGGGGUCUGCAACUCGACCCCAUGAAGUCGGAGUCGCUAGUAAUCGCAGAUCAGCAACGCUGCGGUGAAUACGUUCCCGGGCCUU